UACGUAUGGAGCAAGCGUUAUCCGGAUUUACUGGGUGUAAAGGGAGCGCAGGCGGCUUUGCAAGUCUGAUGUGAAAGGCCGGGGCUCAACCCCGGGACUGCAUUGGAAACUGUAAAGCUAGAGUGCCGGAGAGGUAAGCGGAAUUCCUAGUGUAGCGGUGAAAUGCGUAGAUAUUAGGAGAAACACCAGUGGCGAAGGCGGCCUGCUGGACGAUGACUGACGUUGAGGCUCGAAAGCGUGGGGAGCAAACAGG
rnacentral:rRNA from 1 species